rnacentral:lncRNA from 1 species
GGACUUAGAUAUUUAUACAGCAAGAACUAGCAUUCAGGCACCCGCAAUAUUAUGAUGGUUUAGAUUCUUCACGUGGGAAGACUUGUGAUCAUCUGAGUUGUUGCCAAGAUCAGAUGAACUAGGAUCUCCUGAUCUUUUAGACGCCUCAGCUGAAGAAGAGGAUUUCUCAUCCCCAAGACUCCCUGAGUCAUCUUGAAAGUCUGCCUUUAAAGAUGGCUUGUCAUCAUCAAUUUUCUCAGCAAUGUCUUCACAGCAUCUUUUUUCCUCGAGUAUCUCAGCGGACACCAAAGGUACAGUAUCAGAUCCUUGAUUGUGCUCGUCAGAUGAAGAAUUAACAGCUGUUCUUGAAGAACUACCUUGCUCUAUUGAAGCCGUACUUGAAGAAUGAGAACCAGAUGGUUCAGAAUUUCUAGCAGCGAGUGCUGCAGUCAAAACAC